rnacentral:rRNA from 1 species
CCGUCAACCUACCGGAAGUAAGCAUUUGUAAACUAGGCAGACUAGAGUACUGUAGAGGGGGGUAGGAAGUUUCUAGGUGUAGCGGUGAAAUAGCGUAGAGAUCUGAAGGAAUACCGGUGGCGAAGGCGGCCCCCUCGGACAGAUACUGACACUCAGAUGCGAAAAGCGUGGGGGAGCAAACAGGAUUAGAUACCCCUGGUAG